rnacentral:rRNA from 1 species
CCUACGGGAGGCAGCAGUAGGGAAUAUUGCACAAUGGGGGAAACCCUGAAGCAGCAACGCCGCGUGGAGGAAGAAGGUUUUCGGAUUGUAAACUCCUUUUGUUAGAGAAGAAAAUGACGGUAUCUAACGAAUAAGCACCGGCUAACACCGUGCCAGCAGCCGCGGUAAUACGGAGGGUGCAAGCGUUACUCGGAAUGAAUGGGCGUAAAGAGCGCGGAGGCGGGAUAGCAAGUCAGAUGUGAAAUCCUAUGGCUUAACCAUAGAACUGCAUUUGAAACUGUUAUACUUGAGUAUGGGAGAGGUAGGUGGAAUUCUUGGUGUAGGGGUAAAAUGCGUAGAGAUCAGGAGGAAUACUCAUUGCGAAGGCGACCUGCUAGAAUAUAACUGACGCUGAGGCUCGAAAGCGUGGGGAGCAAACAGGAUUAGAUACCCGGGUAGUC